AAUUAAAAAAAAUUAAAUUUUUUUUUAUAAUAUUAUAUAAACUGUUAAAAUAUUUUAUACUAUAACAUACCAUUAAAAUAGAAUAAUAUAUAAUAUUUACAAUAUAUUAUUUAUGAAUUCAUAUUGAUAGCUUGAGAAGAACAUAAAAGAAAUAUAAAAAUCUAUAGCUUUGGUCAGAGAAAUCUAUACAAAUCAACUCAUUUCAUUAGCAUUUAUUUUAUCAUGAAUAAAAGUAUUUAAUAUAAAAUAACACGAGCUGACAAAAAAAAAUAUAUAUAUAUAAAAUAACACGUAGAAAUGAUAAAAUAGCCUUCAUUAAACAAUUUAAAACUAAAUUAUCCUUAACAAAUAAUAUAUUCAAAUAAAAAAAAUUAAAAAUGUUUACUACGAAUAAAUUAAAUCUUGUUGCUUCAAAUUUUGUAUCUUAUGUUCUUCUCAAGCUAUUAAUAUGAAUUCAUAAAUAACAUAUUGUAUCUAAAAGCAUAAAUUCUAAACAUUAAAUUCUAACCCCUGAAUCUACAUCCUACCCUAACAAUAUAAAU
rnacentral:lncRNA from 1 species